rnacentral:rRNA from 1 species
CUACGGGUGGCAGCAGUGAGGAAUAUUGCACAAUGGGCGCAAGCCUGAUGCAGCCAUGCCGCGUGUAUGAAGAAGGCCUUCGGGUUGUAAAGUACUUUCAGCGGGGAGGAAGGGAGUAAAGUUAAUACCUUUGCUCAUUGACGUUACCCGCAGAGGAAGCACCGGCUAACUCCGUGCCAGCAGCCGCGGUAAUACGGAGGGUGCAAGCGUUAAUCGGAAUUACUGGGCGUAAAGCGCACGCAGGCGGUUUGUUAAGUCAGAUGUGAAAUCCCCGGGCUCAACCUGGGAACUGCAUCUGAUACUGGCAAGCUUGAGUCUCGUAGAGGGGGGUAGAAUUCCAGGUGUAGCGGUGAAAUGCGUAGAGAUCUGGAGGAAUACCGGUGGCGAAGGCGGCCCCCUGGACGAAGACUGACGCUCAGGUGCGAAAGCGUGGGGAGCAAACAGGAUUAGAUACCCCGGUAGUC